rnacentral:rRNA from 1 species
UACGUAGGGGGCAAGCGUUGUCCGGAAUUAUUGGGCGUAAAGCGCGCGCAGGCGGUUCUUUAAGGCUUGUGUUUAAGGCACGAGCUCAACUCGUGUACGCAUGGGAAACUGGGGAACUGGAGUGCAGGAGAGGAAAGUGGAAGUCCCCGUGUAGCGGUGAAAUGCGUAGAGAUGUGGAGGGACACCAGUGGCGAAGGCGACUUUCUGGACUGUAACUGACGCUGGGGCGCGAAAGCGUGGGGAGCAAACAGG